AAAGACUGACGCUCAUGCACGAAAGCGUGGGGAUCAAACAGGAUUAGAUACCCUGGUAGUCCACGCUGUAAACGAUGAUCACUCGUUGUUGGCGAUAUACUGUCAGCGACUGAGCGAAAGCAUUAAGUGAUCCACCUGGGGAGUACGGCGGCAACGUUGAAACUCAAAGGAAUUGACGGGGGCCCGCACAAGCGGAGGAGCAUGUGGUUUAAUUCGAUGAUACGCGAGGAACCUUACCUGGGCUUAAAUGCAGGACGACGUUUCGUGAAAGCGGAAUUUCCUUCGGGACGUCUUGCAAGGUGCUGCAUGGUUGUCGUCAGCUCGUGCCGUGAGGUGUCGGGUUAAGUCCCAUAACGAGCGCAACCCCUAUUCUUAGUUGCCAUCAGGUCAUGCUGGGAACUCUAAGAAAACUGCCUACGCAAGUAGUGAGGAAGGUGGGGAUGACGUCAAAUCAGCACGGCCCUUAUGUCCAGGGCGACACACGUGCUACAAUGGCCAGUACAGAGGGUUGCAAA
rnacentral:rRNA from 1 species